ACCCACCUGACGAGUCCCAAACAGGACGAAACUGGUAGUAGGCUGUUCGCGGAU
rnacentral:hammerhead_ribozyme from 1 species